rnacentral:rRNA from 1 species
UACGGGGGGGGCAAGCGUUGUUCGGAAUUAUUGGGCGUAAAGGGCUCGUAGGCGGCCAACUAAGUCAGACGUGAAAUCCCUCGGCUUAACCGGGGAACUGCGUCUGAUACUGGAUGGCUUGAAUCCGGGAGAGGGAUGCGGAAUUCCAGGUGUAGCGGUGAAAUGCGUAGAUAUCUGGAGGAACACCGGUGGCGAAGGCGGCAUCCUGGACCGGCAUUGACGCUGAGGAGCGAAAGCCAGGGGAGCAAACGGG